GAUUAUAAAUAGACCUUGUCCUCUCAUAAUCGCGGCUG
rnacentral:ncRNA from 1 species